GACGAACCGUGCGAACGUUGUUCGGAAUCACUGGGCUUAAAGGGCGCGUAGGCGGACCGUCAAGUCAGGGGUGAAAUCCCACGGCUCAACCGUGGAAGUGCCUUUGAUACUGACGGUCUCGAGGGAGGUAGGGCGUGCGGAACUUCCGGUGGAGCGGUGAAAUGCGUAGAUAUCGGAAGGAACGCCGGUGGCGAAAGCGGCGUGCUGGACCUCUUCUGACGCUGAGGCGCGAAAGCCAGGGGAGCAAAGCGGG
rnacentral:rRNA from 1 species